AAACUAACAAGGAUUCCCCUAGUAACGGCGAGUGAAGAGGGAAGAGCCCAAGAUUGAAAGCUGGCGUCUUCGGCGUCCGCAUUGUAAUCUCAAGAAGUGUUUUCCGCUUCGGACCAAGCCUAAGUCCCUUGGAAAAGGGCAUCAUAGAGGGUGAUAAUCCCGUACAUGGCUUGGAGCGCCCGAGGCUUUGUGAUACGCUUUCUAAGAGUCGAGUUGUUUGGGAAUGCAGCUCAAAAUGGGUGGUAAAUGCCAUCUAAGGCUAAAUAUUGGGGAGAGACCGAUAGCGAACAAGUACAGUGAUGGAAAGAUGAAAAGAACUUUGAAAAGAGAGUUAAACAGUACGUGAAAUUGCCAAAAGGGAAGGGUAGGAGGUCAGAGAUGCGGCCUGGGAUUCAGCCUUGCUUUUGCUUGGUGUUUUUCCCAGAUUGCAGGCCAACGUCGGUUUUGGGCACUGGAGAAGGGUAGGAGGAACGUGGCACCCCUCGGGGUGUGUUAUAGCCUCCUACUGGAUACAGCGACCGAGACCGAGGACAGCAGCGUACUCGUAAGAGCGGGCCCUCGGGCACCUUUACGCUUAGGGCGUUGGCAUAAUGGCCCUCUACCAC
rnacentral:rRNA from 1 species